ACGUAGGGGACGAGCGUUGUCCGGAUUUACUGGGCGUAAAGGGCGCGUAGGCGGUCAUUUAAGUCAGCUGUGAAAUGUUUUGGCUUAACCGGAUCAUGCGGUGGAAACUGGAUGACUGGAGUGCUGGAGAGGCAAGCGGAAUUCCCAGUGUAGCGGUGAAAUGCGUAGAUAUGGGGAGGAACACUAGUGGCGAAGGCGGCUUGCUGGACGAUAUCUGACGCUGAGGCGCGAAAGCCAGGGGAGCAAACGG
rnacentral:rRNA from 1 species